UUAACCUCAUUUGCUCUCCUAAAACUCCCUCUCAUCUGUCUCCCUCCCGUCUUUCUCCCUCCAUUGACAGAGAGGUCGAGACCUUGGUUUUCACCUAGAGAAAGCCCUUUCGCCUUCCAGCCAUGGUUGUCGACCCAGCUCAUGCCUUGUAAGAGCCAGUCAGGAGAUUUUCAUUCACAACAGGUAAGAAUAUCUGAUGAUUGCCACUCUCUCUCUCUCUCUCUCUCGCUCUCUCUCUCUCUCUCUGUCAAAAUUCAUUUUUUAUAAGCAAAAUGAUGGCCUAAAUCUGUAAAAUUCAAGUUCACUCUUACCAUGUUUGAGAACUCAUGGAUUGGUUGUAAAUGCAUUGUCUCUGUUGGUGUGAUUUUCUAUAUAGAUUUUUUACUUUUCAAGGGAGAAAUUGUAUACAUUACAAUUAAGUUUUAUUUGUUUUAGGGUGCAGAAGUAGGGUCCAACUUCAUCAUUUUGUGGGUUUUUCUUCAUAACAUGUUUUUCUAUAUGGAUUUGGGGAGGUGGGUUUUGUUGGGUUUUUGUGAUUUGUAGCUUUUAAAUCCCGUAGAUCAAUAAAUUCACUCUGCUUCAAGUGCCUAAGAAAAAUGCUAUUGUUUUGAGGUUGUGCUUGAAUUUAACUUCUGAAAAUCUUGUGUUUUCUUUUGUUUUAUUUCCUUUGCUUUGUUUAAGAAGUUCUCCCUUGGAACUCUUCGUGAAAUCCGAGAACUUUUGUUGUGAUUAUCUUUUCGAAAUCAAGGCCUAAUUGGGGUUCCCUUUUAUUUUUAUUCUGAAAUGAUGCCUACUCUUGAUCACCUUCUCUGGAAUUGGGGCUUACUUUCUUGAGUUUCUUUGGCAGCACUACUGAAUAUAUAGUUUCAGUCUUUUGCAUACUAGGAUUUCAGGCUGCCCUUAUGGAAGCAGCCUUAUGCAUCCAAGCAUUUCACAUAUUCCAUUUGUGCUUAUUGUUUUGACUAUUUAUAGAAAAUAGGAGCUUAAGUCUCAUGAUUGGCAUUUCUGAUUGCAUUGGAGAAAGGAUCUAAGGCUUAGAGUAUUAGUUAGGUUAGUUUGUUAAUCGUUCAUGCUUAUCCCUUAAAUAGUUCACAAUGGAUAGAGAGAAAUGCUAUAGUGUGUGAAAGUGACGUUGAAUCCCUGUGUUAAUUGGCAAAACUCUUCUAAUGUCCUAGUUCGCAUGGAACUGACUAAAUGUAAUUUCCAUAUCCAUUGAAGGUAGAUGUUUAUGGAUAAUACAAUCAUGUUAUCCCUUUUUUGUAUGCCUAUGUCAUUUGGUAUUUAUGUCCUGCAUCUUUUUGGUUUGGAGAUGGUGAUGCCCUAUACUGUAGAGCCAAUUUUGACAUGUUGGCACCAAAGGCCUCUCCUUUGUGAAAUUUAUGUUGCAUCCCUAUAUUUUGGUGUAUAUGAGACAAGCAUAAUUGCUGCCAUUUUUUAGGUAGGCAAGUAGAGAGCAUUGGUCAUUCAGGAGAGGAUUAGCGAUGUGACUGGUUCUCAUUCCUUUUAGACCAGAGUCAUGAGGAGCUACCGUGUUUGGGUGGUGAACCUCCUAUUGAGAGCCUACAAUUUGGUUGCUCUUUUGAGUACUAAUUAGUUUCUUUUUUUCUUUUCUUUUCUCUUUUUAGUGGUACAUUGAGAAAUUUAUACAUGGUAUUUCAACUAUGAUUUACCCAAAUUCAGGUUGUAAUGGCUUUAAUUUUGGGUAGCACUAUUCUUGGCACAAUAUAGUUGUAAUUUUGGGGCAUGAAACAAUUUUUGGCAGCUCUACUCUUGGCUGCAAUUUUGGGCAUUGGCACAAUUUUGGCCACUAUUAAUGCCUAUAAUAUACUUUUGAACUUUACAUUGAUAAUCAGUACUAGAAAACAAUAUAUGACUGUAAUAUGCUUUUGAACUUGAGUCCUAUUUUACAGGUACCUAAGUAGAUCCCAUAUAGAAACCUCUCCAUGAAACCAUGCUUGUAGAGGGCAUUGCUUCAAUUGUAGAAAACCCAUUUAAAACAGUUCCUAGUGAUUUAGUUCCAUACAAUGGGAAAAUAUUUUCAAGUCAUAAUGAUGCUUAUGAAUUUUACAUGGGUUUUGCCAAGGCAUGGGGGUUUUCAGUGCGUCGUCAACGAAUAAUUGGAAAAGAAGGUGAUGGCAAUCGAACUAUUCGAAGAUACUAUGUUUGGGGGGAGCGGGGGUGCAUUUAACAAAUAAAUAAUUAUCUGCAAAUAAAGGAGAAAGAGAUUGAUCAUCAAGGAGAUGCAAUUGUGCAGCGCAUAUGAGUAUCGCAAAAGUCAUGGAUUCUAAUAUUUCAUAUUGGUGUGUUGUAACCUUUGAUAAUUUGCACAAUCAUGAUGUUCUCUACCCACAAGAAGGUAGAUUUUUGCCGGCUUAUCGUAGUAUUUCAGAAAGCUACAAGGAUUGUAUUCUACAAUUUUCAAAGUUGGUAUAUGUGUUAGAGAUAUGAUACGAUUGUUUGAAAUAGAGAGAAAUCUUAAACCAGGGGAAUUACCAUUUAUAGAUAAAGAUAUCUAUAACUAUGUAUGUGCUAUGAACAAUAUGAACCGCGACAAUGAUGCUCAUAUUCUCUUAACAAAAUGUAAGCAAAUGAAAGAUAGAGAUAAAUAUUUUAAGUACGCUUUUAUAGUUGGUGAAGAUAAUAGGUUGGAGCAUAUUGUUUGGUCACAUGGUUCUUGUUCUCGUGCAUAUGAGAUCUUCAGUGAUGUGGUAGUUUUCGAUACGACCUACAGGUCAAAUGGUUACUAUAUGUCAUUCGGCAUUUGGAUGGAUGUCAAUAACCAUGGUGACACUUGUUUAUUUGGGUGUGUUCUACUACGAGCUAAAAGAGUCCAAUCUUUUUCAUGGGCAAUGAAGGUAUGUGAUUUUUUACAAAUUAUGAGCUUUGAAUUAUUUGAUAUUUUUACCAAUGAUGUGUGUUUGAGCCUGCUUAUAUGUUUUUAGGGUUUCUAAAGCAUGAUAUAGUUGUAGGCAUUUGUAGGUCUAAUGAAUGGAAAGAUGCCACAAACAAUCCUAACUGAUCAGGACUUGGCUCUCAAAGAAGCAAUAUGUAAGGAACUCCUCAACACUUAACAUGCAUUUUGUAUAUGACACUUAUUAUCAAAUUAUCUGGCUGGUUUUUCCUCCUCCUUGUUAAAAGAUACAAUGAGUUUAACACCGACUUUUACAAGUUAUAUAAUCUUGAGUCCAUUGAAGAUUUUGAAGAACUCGCAUGCAUUAGUCAAUAAGUUUGCAUUGCAUUCUAAUAGACAUAUUAACAACUUGUGGAAUUUAAAAGAGUUUUGGGCAUUACCAUACUUGAGAAGCCAUUUUUUUGCUGGACUGAAAACAACGGGACGUUAACAGUCCAUCAAUACAUCUGUGAAGCGAUUCUUGAGUUCACAGACUCCGCUUAGUGAAUUGAUAGAUCAGACAGUUGUUAUUGAAAUGAGAGAUGUAGUGAGUCAAAGACGUUUGAUGCAACAAAAGUCCAACAAUGUGGAUGUUCGAACAAUGUGCCCCUUCAAAGAUCAUGCAGCACACGUCUUAACUCCUUAUGCAUUUUCAAAGAUACAAGAAGAAAUUAUUUCAUCUUUCCAGUAUUUGACAUCAAGAAAGGAUGAUGGAACUUAUGAAGUGACACUUUUCAAAAAAAGAAAAAGGGCAAAAAGUUUCUUUGAUGGUUGACAAUAUUAUGAAUUACAGUUGUAAAGGGUUUGAGUUUACAGGUAUCAUUUGCAAGCAUUCUCUUCAUGUUCUCUUCAAGGAAAAUUUUAUUCAAAUUCCAGACCGAUAUGUGCCAAAACGUUGGAGGCACUCUACAUUAUUGAUAUCAAAUGUUAGCUCGAGCGCAUCAGCUGCAUAUGUUGAGCGUGUCCAAACUAUACAAUCAUUAGCAUCAACAAUUGGUACAAAAGUUGCAAGAUUUGAUGAUUGUUACAAGUUCAUUAUGGAGCAAUUUUCAAGAAUUUUGGAACAUGUUGAAGAAGUAGAAUGCAUGAGGUCUCCUAUGGUAGAUAAAACAUAUAAUGCAAGUCUAGCAAGUGAAGAGAUGAAAAUAGACUUCAUUAUGAAAGCAUCCAUGUAAAAAACCCUGCUCGGUCUAUUACAAAAGGGCGGCCUCUUGAAAAAAAGUUAAAAGUCCCAUGUUGAAGUUGCUAAAAACCCUACAUAUUGUAAGGUUCCUUCAUGUGGCCAAACUGGCCAUGAUUAUAGGAAUUGUCCAUUAAGAAGAGGUUAAUUUAGUAGGUAAUCAUUAUAUAUUAGAGAACACCAUUCUUAGUGUGAUGUUGACACAAUUUUUGGGCUAGAAAUGCUACUUUGCAUAUGAGAUUUUUGAGCAUUUACAUGUGAUAACUUCGUAUAUAUAAUUUUGGAGUUGUACAUAAUGAUUAUUG